rnacentral:lncRNA from 1 species
CAUGUCCACCAUUAUAGCCUUGAUGUUUUCUCUACCAAUGAUGUAGGGUUGAUCUUUAUCGUUAGGGUUUAUGGGUGUAUCCAACAACGAAACCAUCACUUGAAAGAAACUUCUAUAAGGUUUUUGGUCAUCCAAGUUAAUCCCUUGUUGGUAUUCAUCUAUCAUUUUCUCAAAAAAUUGGUGAAGGUCACUACUCACCUUCUUAAGCCUUCUUGUAUAUCCCUGCAGCGUAAAGAUAGAUAUGAUAGAAUUAGUUUUAUAUUAAUUGUAUUUUUCAUUAUAAUUAUUCUUUGUGAAAAAACCAACUAGUCAUCCAACCAAAUAUUAAGACUUCCGAGUUUCACUCUGCAUCUUAUAAGAUUACUAUAACACAAUUUAUUAUGCUUUAAAAUUGGUAUUAUUAUUAGUACGAAAAAAUAAAUAAAUUAUGAAAAAGAAAAAUAGUACAUAAAAAAACAGGAUAUAAGGAGGAAAAAAAAACGUUACCUGAAGAUCAAGUGGAGCAAGGAAAGGCACAUAAUCCGAGAGAUUGAAAACCCCAGAUAAGUGCAGGGCCUCAUCAACCAGCGGCUUAAAAUCGAUUUUAUCAUCCAUGGACCGCCCGAAUAACACUUUCGACAUCAUUUCUUCAAGAACCUUAGCCACCGCCUGGCUAAGGUUUAUUGUUUCACCCGCCGCCGCUACCUUUCUCACUGAUUCAACCAAUAACCCCACCUCCGCCUUCCUUAUCGGGGCAAAACAUUCAACUUUGGAAGCACUGAGGAAAUGCAAAAUACACCAUUUCCGUACAGUUCGCCAGUAAGAACCGUACUGGGUAAAACCAACGGCCUUGCCACCAUAUGCCAAGUAUUUCGCGGAUUGGACUUUAGGCCUGGAAGCAAAAACGACGUCAUGGACCUUGAGGAACAGUUCAGCGGCUUCGGGUGAUGAUACCACGAUGGUUGGUACUUUGCCUAGCAUUAUCGACAUGAUGGGUCCAUAUUUUUCGGCGAGAUAGUGAAGGCUAUGGUGUGGGAGGUUCCCUAGCAUGUGGAUGUUACCUAUGAUGGGAAGAGGGGCAGGACCGGGUGGAAGUUUCCGGCCAUUUUUGUUGCGGUUUGGUGAGCUGAAGAAGUAGAUAAAGGAACAGAGAGUUCCAAGGAGGACGAAGAAUAAGGUUAAUGUUGAAGAAGACAUUUGGGAGGGAAGCCAAUCACAAUAGCUGGUAGUCAUUGGGGAUUGAUUGAUUGAGUACUUGUAGAUGGAAGCAACCGAUGGCAGCUGCAAGUCGGGAGAAUUCGCCAAAUAUGUCGAUUUAAAAAAAAAUUAGGGAGUUCGACUUUUUUUUUUAAUGUAAGGAAAAAAGUUGAUUUUUGCUGGCUUAUUUUUAGGGGUGUUUAUUCGGUUAACCAACCGGUUAACCGACCCGAAAUAACAUUAACCGAAUUAAUCGACCUUUCAAAAUUUUUAACCGUUAACUGAAACCGUAAAUUUUUUUACAAAAAAUUUAACCGAACUGAAAUUUUUUCGGUUAAUUCGGUCGGUUAACCGAAUUAACCGAAAAUUAUAUGUUUUUUUUUUAAUUUUUGGUUAAAAAUUAACCGAAUUAACCGAAUUACCCGAAUUACCCGAAUUACCCGAAUUACCCGAAUUAACCGAAUUACCCGAAUUAACUGAAUUACCCGAAUUGAAUCACUACAUAAUUAAAUUAUUUUUAGACUUUUAGACUUUAGUUUUAGUCUUAGUUUUAAAAUUUUAUUUUUAUUUAUUAAAUUAUUUGUAAUUUAAUUUUAUGAUUGGGUUGGGUUGGGUAAUUGGGUUGGGUUGAAUACUUGGGUUUAGAUUGGGUUUAGGUGAAUAGUGGGCCUAUUUAUAUAUUAUAAUUUUAUUUAUUAAUUUUUUCGGUUAACCGAAAAAUUCGGUUAACCGACCGAUUUCGAACCGAAUUAACCGUUAACCGAAAAAUAAAAAAAUAAUUAACCGACCCCCGACCGAAAAAAUUCGGUUAACCGACCAAUUAACCGAAUUCGAUCGGUUAACCGAAUUUUUUCGGUUUUACCCUAAUUUUGCACACCCCUACUUAUUUUUCCAGUUGAAUUAUUUACAUGGUAAGAAAAUAUUCUUAUAAUUUUUUUUUAAUUAAUAUUAUUUUUAAGUUGUUAAUGUUAUUUUUUUUUAUUUUUUUAUGUUUGUAUAACCAAGAUGAAGAUUAAAUUAUUGAAAUUUAUAUACACGCAAUUUAAGUGCAAGAGCACCACGUAUUAGUGAAUAAUACUUGAAAGAUGUGAGAUUCUUACACAUGUCUCAUAUGCUCAACGAGACUAAAUUGGAGUCUGCACUUAUCAGUGCUUUGCUGGAGAGAUGGAGAUCCGAAACACAUAAAUUCCAUCUUUCGUGCGGAGAGUGUACGAUUACAUUUAAGGAUGUAUCAUUACAACUCGAUCUACCAAUUGAUGAGGCAGUCAUUACGGUUGGGGAUUGGAGGCCAAUUUGCCACCAACUAUUAGGCAAUGUGUCAGACAAGUUUAGUGCUAAUCAAAUAUAUAUGAAAUGGUUAGAAGAUAAUUUCUCGCAUCACAAAACUUUUCUAGUGUAGUUGAAAGACAACAAUUAACUCAAGCAUUUAUACUAAGGUUAAUCGGGGGUCUUCUAAUGUCAUAUAAAUCUCAAAAUUUGGUAUAUUUAAUGGGACUCCUAUAACUAAUUGACCUAAAAGAAACUGGGCAAGUCAGUUGGGGAUCAAUUGUCUUAGCUACAUUGUAUCGAAAGAUGUGUAGGACAACAGAAGCACAAAAAUUAAAAUCGGUGGUUGUAUAUUCCUUCAAUCAUGGGUAUAAUAUCGCUUACCAUUUUUACAUCCCGAGAAAACUCUCAUUAUCAAUUAUUACUCGUAAUAAGGUAACAUUCAUUUAAUAAUAUAGUUAUCAUAUUAUCUUUAUUUCAUUAUUAUAUUUUUGGAAUAACAUAUUAUUUGAACAGAUGGAAAAAUAAUGCGAGUCAUGUCGGUAUACCAAAUAAACUUGAAGAUAUUUGGUUAUUGUUAAAUCAAUGGUUAAAAGUCGAGGUUAGUUUUUGAAUUUUUUUAGUUACAUAAUAAUUAUGUAAGGAUUUGAAAUUUAAUAUUAGGUAGGUAUGAAAUUUAUAAUUUCGUAUUAUAAUUUAGAUGGAUGUCAUACUCUGAUCCGAGAAUUGAAGAAUGCAUCACGUUUAAAUUUUUGACAAAUCAUAAUAUUUGACACGUUAAAGUGUCAUUAAUAGUUUUUACAUUGUCUAUUUUUAAUAAAUAUAUUUGAAGUAAAUUUUUUUAUAUAUUCUAUUUGAACAUUUUUAGAUUUUUAAAAAAAAUUAUACAUACUUUUCAUAUAUAUAUAUUUUUAAAAUUAGGACCAAAUUAAUAGAAUAUAAAAAUAUUGAUGGUUUAAUUUGUUAUUAUAUCAAUCAAAAUUAUUACAAUUGAUGGAAAAUAUUAUUUUUCAUGAUGGAAAACAUACAUACUUUUCAUCCACCUAAAUCUGCUGGUCUAUAUGCGAAGGCUUUCCUUCUUUUAGCUACAAUUGUAUUUAUUAAUUCAUAGAUUUGUCGGGAUAACAAAAAAAUGAUAAACAAUUAUAAUGAGACAAUGGCCAUUGCUUGCAGGGACCACUGGAUCAAUCACAAAUGCCGACACCUAAAAUCAUAUAGUUAUUUUGGAUAAAUCUAACGUGAUGUAAAGUAUAUAUAUUUAUAAAAAAUUAUAAAUUAUAAUAUCAUAUAAUAAAAUAAUAUAUGAAUUUUAAUUGUAUUGGGUAACAUGUAUUUGUUUUCAACAUACCAUAAUGGGAAGGAAAAUGUAGAUACAGGAAUAAGUUGGGCAAGAAGUUACAAGUGGUUCAACACGGCAUGAUUGCAUGAUGUGAGGGUGACAACUAACCAGGGGACAUGUCCAACCAGACGAUGGGUUAAAUUUAAUACGGAUAGAGUUGUAUCCAGAAAUAACUCAUUUGCGGGCAUUGGGGAAGUGUUUAGAGGUGCCGACAGCUAGUGGUGAGGUGGUUUUUCGAUGAAGUUAGGAAAUGAUUCAAUUUUUAAGAUUGAGGCGAGAGCCUUACUUAAAGGCCUACUUAUAUCAUGGAGAAAAAGUUAUCGACAGUUGGAAGUGGAAUGUGAUAAUGCUCUCUUAGUUGCAUUGAUUUUAGCUGGCAGAGCUGCAGAUAGUCAUUUGACUGAAAUGCGCCUUAUCCAUCAUUUAUUGAGUCGGAAUUGGAAGAUCCUUGUUCGUCUUACUUCGAGGUCGCAAAAUACAGUAGUUGAUCAUAUGGCCAAGUGUAUGGCGACUAUUUUAACAUAAAUUCAUUGGUUUGAAGAACCACCGCAAUUAGCUAGAAGUUUAAUUGAGGCGGAUUAUAUAUGUUCUUACUUUGAGUCACUAGUGUCAUUUUUUGAGUUUUUCACUUUAAGCUAUCUUUUUUCUACCAAAAAAAAUGUGUACAAUUACUUUACACUACAUGAAUUAUUGAGAGGAGAAAUUCAUAUUAGUUAUAUAUAUUAUAAUUUUGUAUAUAAUAAAUAUUUUAAUAAUUGUUGCAUGUUAUAUUUAUGUCAUAUGGUAUGCAACCGUUUUUUUAUUGUUUAUAUCUAUUUACAAUUCAUAUUCAAGGUUCGUGUGGUUAUUCUUUCCAACAAAACUAUUUCUAAGGUUCAAAGUUGUAUCUCUAUUUAGGAAUGCAAAAUAUCUUACCAUUAGACCAAACACUUGAAUAAAUGAAAAUUGUAUAACUAUAUAUUAUGAUUGUGUUAUAGAUUAUCAUCCAGGAAAGGCAAAUGUGGUAGCAGAUGCAUUGAGUAGGAAAGCAGCGGUUGAAUUACGGGCAAUGUUUGCUCGGCUUAGUAUUAAUGAUGAUGGAAGUUUGUUAGUUGAGUUAAGAGUCAAGCAGGUAAUGUUUGAUCAAAUCAGAGCAGCACAGCUAGAGGAUGAAAAGUUGAUGAAGAGAAGAGAAAUGGUAAAACUUGGUACGGUGGAAAAUUUUAGUAUUGACGAGCAUGAUUGUUUGAGAUUUCAGAAUCGAAUUUGUGUUCCAGCUACUUCUGAGAUUAAAGAGUUGAUUCUUCGAGAAGCACAUAAUAGUAUUUUUGCUUUGCACCUAGGUGGAACGAAGAUGUAUCGUGACCUACGAGAACUGUAUUGGUGGCCGGGGAUGAAGAAAGAUGUAGUCGAGUAUGUUGGUAAAUGCCUGACUUGUCAGCGGGUAAAAGCAGAACAUCAGGUACCGACAGGUUUACUUCAGCCUAUUAGUAUCCCCGAGUGGAAAUGGGAUUGUAUUACUAUGGACUUUGUUACGGGAUUACCGUUGUCAGCAAGUAAAAAGAAUGCCAUAUGGGUAAUUGUUGAUCGACUCACAAAGUCUGCUCACUUUAUAGCAGUCAGAACUGAUUGGUCACUACAGAAGCUUGCCGAAGUUUAUAUCCGGGAAAUUGUUAGAUUACAUGGUAUUCCGGUAUCAAUAAUUUCAGACCGAGAUCCUCGGUUUACAUCGAGAUUUUGGAGGCAGUUACAUGAGUCGUUGGGUACACGGCUUAAUUUUAACACUCAUUUCAUCAGCAAACUGACGGACAGUCCGAGCGGGUAAUUCAAAUUUUGGAAGAUAUGUUGAGAGCUUGUAUUAUCGACUUUGCGUCUGGUUGGGAACGAUAUUUUCCAUUAGCAGAAUUUGUUUAUAAUAAUAGUUUCCAAUCUAGUAUUCAGAUGGCUCCGUAUGAAGCACUAUAUGGUCGAAGGUCUCGAUCACCGAUAUGUUGGACAGAAUUGAAUGAAAGAAAAGUGAUUGGUCCGGAAUUGAUUCAAGAGACAGAGGAAACAGUUAAAAAGAUUAAAUAUAGACUGAAAGCAGCAUUCGACAGACAGAAAUCUUACGCAGAUCUGAAACGACGAGAUAUUGAAUAUUUCGUUGGUGAUAAAGUAUUCCUCAAAGUAUCGCCAUGGAAGAAAAUUUUGAGAUUUGGUCAGAAGGGAAAAUUGAGUCCACGUUUUAUUGGGCCGUAUGAAAUUGUGGAAAGAAUCGGACCGGUUGCCUAUCGAUUGGCUUUACCUCCGGAAUUACAAAGGAUUCAUGAUGUUUUUCAUGUUUCGAUGCUUCGGAGAUAUAGAUCAGAUCCUUCUCAUGUUAUUCCCACUGAAGACAUUGAAAUUCGAUCUGAUUUAAUUUAUGAAGAAGAGCCGGUUCAGAUAUUAGCACGAGAAGUGAAAGAAUUAAGAAAUAAACGGGUUCCUUUAGUAAAAGUCUUAUGGAGAAGCCAUAGUGUGGAAGAAGCGACUUGGGAACCAGAAGAGACGAUGAGAGCACAAUAUCCUCAUCUCUUCUCAGGUAAAUUUCGAGGACGAAAUUUAUUAAAGGGGGAGAAAUGUAAUGACCCAAAAUUCACAAGCACCGAAAAAGUACGUUAUCGGGCCUCCGUCUUAGUAAAUUGAGUUCGAAAAUAAUUAUUAGAAAUAUUUAUUAGACUAGUUGUGUGUUUAAUUAGGUAUUAAUUGAGUGAAUUUAGUUUAAUUAAGAGAAAUUAAGAAAAAAGGACUAAAUUGAUCUAGGGGUAAAAGUUGAAUUAUAGAUUAAUAAAAAAAUAAAAAGGAUUAAAAUGGCAAUUAAGCCAUUAAUAAGAAAUGGGACGGUAAAAGUGAUAAAAAUCUUAGAUUUUUAUGUUUUAUAUAUAUUAUUUUAUUAUAUAAUAUAUUGUAUUGUAUUGUAUUAUAUUAUAUAAGUAAAAAAAAUAAAAAAAAAAGAUGACAAAUGUAUGGUAAAUAUUGAAGACAUGUGUAAUAGUAAUAAUUACAUGGGUACACUUGUAAUAAAAAUAAAUAUGUGCUUAAUUAAUAAGUAAAAGAUUUUUUUUAAUAUAUUAUUAAUAUUAUUAGUUAAAAUAAAAGAUAUAAAGUAAAAGAAAUAAAGAAAUAAAGAAGAAAAGAAACAGAAUAGCUAGAAAAGAAGCAGGGAAAGAGACGAAAACAGGGGAAGAUAAGGGGAAAGAAAAAUAAAAGGGAAAACUAAGGAUUUAAAGCUUCAAGUUAAUUGGUAAGCUAAAUUUAGCCCUUUCCUCUUCAUUUUGAUAUUUUAAAAGCUUUAAAACAAAAUUUUGUUGAAGUUAAGUGGAGGUUAUGGAAGUUCAUAGGUUUUUGAAUAUGAUUCAUUUUGAACAAGUUGUUAAAUUAGGGGUUUAGUUGAUAGAAUUUCUAGUUAGAAUAGAUAAAAAGAAUGAUUUGUAAACUAAGUUGUAAGUUUUACAUAGUUGGGAUUAAGUUAUAAAAAGCCUUAAAUUAGGGUUUAUGUUGAAUAAAUGAUGGAAUUGAGGGUUUAUUUGAUAGAGUUUCUAGUUAGAGUUGAUAAAAGGAUUAAAUUGUGAACUAGACUAUAAGUUUUGAAUUUUAGGGAUUAAAUUGAGGAAAAUUCAAAAUUAGUGAAAAAUGCUGAAAAAUUAGUAGAUAAAUUUGAGUUUAGAAGAAAUUUGAAUAGAAAUAGAGUGUGAAUUAAGUUAGAAAAAUAAGUAAGCUUAGUUAGAAUUAAAUUGGGAAUAAGUAGGAAUUGAAUAAGAAUUUUAUUAUUAUUAUUAUUAUUAUUGUUAAUAUAAUUAUUAUUGUUAAUAUAAUUAUUAUUAUUAUUAUUAUUUUUAAUGAUUGUAAUUAAUAGUGAAAAUAAUUAUUAUUUUCGUAGCUAACAAGGAAAACGAGGCAUCGGCAUCUAAAGGAAAAGAAAAGAUCGUUGAGGAGUAAACGCGUAUUCCAGGUUUGUAUUACUAUAACUUAAUCUAUUUAAUAAAUGUUAUAUUGAAAUUGUAUUCGUGAGACAUUUAAAGGAAGGUAAGUACUAACAUUUGAAAUUAAGUAAGAAUAUGUGUGAAUAUUGAAUUAUAUGUGAAUUGAAAUAAUAGAUGUUUUGUAUUGAUUGAAUAUUUGAAAUUGUUGUGGAAAUGAAUUCGAAAUUGGAAAAGUAAAAUAAUACCCUAUNNNNNNNNNNNNNNNNNNNNNNNNNNNNNNNNNNNNNNNNNNNNNNNNNNNNNNNNNNNNNNNNNNNNNNNNNNNNNNNNNNNNNNNNNNNNNNNNNNNNNNNNNNNNNNNNNNNNNNNNNNNNNNNNNNNNNNNNNNNNNNNNNNNNNNNNNNNNNNNNNNNNNNNNNNNNNNNNNNNNNNNNNNNNNNNNNNNNNNNNNNNNNNNNNNNNNNNNNNNNNNNNNNNNNNNNNNNNNNNNNNNNNNNNNNNNNNNNNNNNNNNNNNNNNNNNNNNNNNNNNNNNNNNNNNNNNNNNNNNNNNNNNNNNNNNNNNNNNNNNNNNNNNNNNNNNNNNNNNNNNNNNNNNNNNNNNNNNNNNNNNNNNNNNNNNNNNNNNNNNNNNNNNNNNNNNNNNNNNNNNNNNNNNNNNNNNNNNNNNNNAAUAUUUAUAUUUAUUUUAAAGUGAUUUUUAAAGACUAUGGUCAAUAUUUGAAAUUUUAUUAUUAUUAAAUAGUUUAAUUUAUAGUAAUACCACUGAGUAUAAAAUACUCAGCGUACGGUUGUUUCCGUGCGCAGGUUGAAAAGGGGUUAGAGUCUCGGUUCAGCAUCCAGGACAAUCCCGACUCCGACAUAAAGAUUUUAGUGAUGUUUUCUUCCUUUAAGAGAAAGUGGCAUGUACAUAGGAUUUAUAAUAGUUAUUUUGGCAUGUUAUAUAGUUUUGUUGUAAAGUAAGAUAUUAUGUGUUUUGAUGAUUAUAUUAGAAAAAUGGUAUAAGUUAUUUUUAUAGCAUUGGUAUCAAGUUGAAAUGGCUUAGUUAGUUUUAUGUGUUAAUUAGAAAUGAUAAUAGGAUUUUAUUUACUUAAGUUGUUAUGUCUAUAUGUCAAGUAGGAUUAAGUAUAUAAAUGCAUUGAUUGAAAUACUGAAAUUGGGUUGGUUAUGUUUGAAAUUUUACAGGGGGUUUAAUGUAAAAAUAAGUCGAAAUGCUGCCGAAAUUUUUUAUAAAAAAAAUGAAUGAAAUCAAUUAGUACAAAUUUAUAACAAUUUAUGAAUUAUUUUAAUAUGUUGGUUAUUUAUUUCGAUUUAUUUGUAAAUUGUUUGAUAUGUCUGGUAAUGCCUCGUAACCCUGUUCCGGCUACGGUUUGGGGUUAGGGGGUGUUACAUUUUGUGGUAUCAGAGCUAUCAGGUUUAGUCGAUUCUCGGACUAAAUCGGGUUCAGAAUUGAGUUUAGAUGUACAUGCCACAAUCGAGUUAAACUGAGUCGGGAUUUUUGGAUGCUGAUAUAAUUAUUUGUUUUGUUUUAUAGUUAAAAUGUCGAAUGAACAUGUGGAAGAUGUAGAUCAAGAAAUGUAUAUCAAAGAUAGAGAAUUGGAUGAAACAGAAUCAGCUACACCGAGUGUAAAUCCAUUAGGUAACCAACCUAAUAUAGAACGGGAAAAUGUUAGAGACUGAGAUGACUCCCAUUUACUGAGAAUUAUAGCCGAUGCUUUGCAACGAGUAGCGGGAACUGUACCUGCUACGACAUCUACUCCUACUACUAGACGGGCCCCAAUCAAAGAAUUACGAAAAUAUGGUGCUACUGAAUUUUUGGGUUUGAAGGGAAUUGAUCCAUCCACUGCAGAAAAUUGGAUGGAAUCAACUAAACGAGUUCUGCAGCAAUUAGAAUGUACCCCCCGAGAGAGCUUGAUCUGUGUUGUUUCUCUACUGCAAGGAGAAGCCUAUUUGUGGUGGGAAUCUGCAAUACGACAUCUACCUACAGAACAGGUGACAUGGGAUUUAUUUCAAAAAGAAUUUCAGAAGAAAUAUGUUGGGGAGCUGUAUAUUGAAGAUAAGAGGCAGGAGUUUUUGAUGUUGAAACAAGGUAACAUGUCUGUUGUAGAUUAUGAACGUGAAUUUUCCAGACUCAGCCGAUAUGCUUCACAGUUUAUACCGACAGAGGCUGAUAGUUGUAAAAGGUUUCUUCGGGGUUUGAGAGAUGAGAUCAGGGUACAGCUGGUGUCACAUCGAAUUACAGAAUUUGUAGAUUUAGUAGAGAGAGCGAAGAUGGUUGAGCAGGUGCUGGGUUUGGAUAAAAAGCCUGAGAUAGCUAGAUCGACUGGGAAACGAGCUGGCAUUACUAUUUCAAGUCCUCUAUCGAAAAGAUCCCGAGAAUUCAGAGACAGUUGGAAGUCAAGUUUCAGAUCAGAUCGAGGAGAUAAAAAUCGAGGCAAACAGACUGCUGUUUCUACCGGUAGUGUAAAAGGACCUUCACGAAAUAUUGAUAUCCCCGACUGUGAACACUGUGGAAAGAAGCAUUUGGGCGAAUGUUGGAGGAUAACUCGACGAUGUUUUCGAUGCGGGCCUAUAGAUCAUUUCAUCUGGGAUUGUCAAAAAAAUGAAGGUGCUUUACCUGCAGCAUCUCAGAGAUCAGUAUCUACUGCUAGAGGCAGAGGGUCAGGUAGAGGUAGUUCACUUUCAAGGGGAGGAAGUAUUAGGAGGAGCAGUGAUAUAGCUACUCAACAGUCUGAAGCGAAAGUACCCGCCAGAGCUUAUGUUGUCAGAACACGGGAAGAAGGCGACGCCCGUGAUGUAGUAACAGGUAUAUUCUUACUAUAUUCUGAACCUGUUUAUGCUUUAAUUGAUCCCGGAUCUUCACACUCUUAUAUAAAUUCAAAAUUGGUUGAAUUGGGAAAGUUAAAAUCUGAAAUGUCUAGAGUUUUAAUAGAAGUGUCUAGCCCUUUGGGACAAACUGUGUCUGUAGAUAGAGUAUGCCGGAGAUGCCCGUUGAUGAUACAUGGUAAAAUGUUUUCUGUUGACUUGUUGAUUAUGCCUUUCGGUGAUUUUGAUAUAAUAUUGGGUAUGGAUUGGUUAUCCGAAUACGGGGUGAUUUUGGAUUGCUAUAAAAAGAGGUUUAGUAUUCAGACAGAGGAUGGAGACAGACUUGAAGUGAAUGGCAUUCGUACCAGUGGCACGACACGUAUUAUUUCAGCAAUCAAGGCUAGUAAAUUGCUACGACAAGGUUGUACAGCAUAUCUAGCUUAUGUUAUUAAUUCUGAUUCGAUUGGUAGUCAGUGUAGUCAGAUUAGAACUGUAUGUGAGUUUCCAGAUGUAUUCCCUGAAGAACUACCGGGCGUACCACCUGACAAAGAGGUUGAAUUUGCUAUAGAAGUGUACCCAGGUACAGCACCAAUCUCUAUACCUCCAUACCGAAUGUCGCCCACUGAAUUAAAAGAGUUGAAGGUGCAGUUACAGGACUUACUAGAUCGUGGAUUUAUUAGACCGAGCAUUUCACCUUGGGGAGCUCCAGUGUUAUUUGUUAAAAAGAAAGAUGGAUCAAUGCGGCUUUGUAUUGAUUAUCGGCAGUUGAACAAAGUGACAAUCAAGAACCGGUACCCGUUGCCUCGUAUAGACGAUUUAUUCGAUCAGCUAAAAGGAGCUUCGGUAUUUUCAAAGNNNNNNNNNNNNNNNNNNNNNNNNNNNNNNNNNNNNNNNNNNNNNNNNNNNNNNNNNNNNNNNNNNNNNNNNNNNNNNNNNNNNNNNNNNNNNNNNNNNNNNNNNNNNNNNNNNNNNNNNNNNNNNNNNNNNNNNNNNNNNNNNNNNNNNNNNNNNNNNNNNNNNNNNNNNNNNNNNNNNNNNNNNNNNNNNNNNNNNNNNNNNNNNNNNNNNNNNNNNNNNNNNNNNNNNNNNNNNNNNNNNNNNNNNNNNNNNNNNNNNNNNNNNNNNNNNNNNNNNNNNNNNNNNNNNNNNNNNNNNNNNNNNNNNNNNNNNNNNNNNNNNNNNNNNNNNNNNNNNNNNNNNNNNNNNNNNNNNNNNNNNNNNNNNNNNNNNNNNNNNNNNNNNNNNNNNNNNNNNNNNNNNCAAAGAAUGUAUCUGAGGUACGUAGUUUUCUUGGUUUGGCUGGGUAUUACAGAAGAUUUGUAAAUGGAUUUUCGAAGAUAGCUUUGCCGAUGACCAAGUUACUACAGAAGAAUGUUCCUUUCAUCUGGGAUGAUCGGUGUCAGAGAAGUUUUGAGACAUUGAAACAAAUGUUAACAGAGGCACCGGUUUUAACUUUACCAGAAUCGGGGAAAGAUUUCAUAGUGUACAGUGAUGCUUCUCUGAAUGGUUUGGGUUGUGUAUUGAUGCAAGAUGGAAAAAUAAUAGCUUAUGCAUCUCGACAGUUGAAGCCACAUGAACGUAACUACCCGACACACGAUUUGGAGUUAGCUGCUGUAAUUUUCGCAUUGAAGAUUUGGAGGCAUUAUCUUUAUGGUGAAAAAUGUUACAUAUAUACCGAUCAUAAAAGUCUCAAAUACCUUCUGUCGCAAAAGGAGUUGAAUCUAAGACAGAGACGAUGGAUAGAACUUCUAAAAGAUUAUGAUUGUGUUAUAGAUUAUCAUCCAGGAAAGGCAAAUGUGGUAGCAGAUGCAUUGAGUAGGAAAGCAGCGGUUGAAUUACGGGCAAUGUUUGCUCGGCUUAGUAUUAAUGAUGAUGGAAGUUUGUUAGUUGAGUUAAGAGUCAAGCCGGUAAUGUUUGAUCAAAUCAGAGCAGCACAGCUAGAGGAUGAAAAGUUGAUGAAGAGAAGAGAAAUGGUAAAACUUGGUACGGUGGAAAAUUUUAGUAUUGACGAGCAUGAUUGUUUGAGAUUUCAGAAUCGAAUUUGUGUUCCAGCUACUUCUGAGAUUAAAGAGUUGAUUCUUCGAGAAGCACAUAAUAGUAUUUUUGCUUUGCACCUAGGUGGAACGAAGAUGUAUCGUGACCUACGAGAACUGUAUUGGUGGCCGGGGAUGAAGAAAGAUGUAGUCGAGUAUGUUGGUAAAUGCCUGACUUGUCAGCGGGUAAAAGCAGAACAUCAGGUACCGACAGGUUUACUUCAGCCUAUUAGUAUCCCCGAGUGGAAAUGGGAUUGUAUUACUAUGGACUUUGUUACGGGAUUACCGUUGUCAGCAAGUAAAAAGAAUGCCAUAUGGGUAAUUGUUGAUCGACUCACAAAGUCUGCUCACUUUAUAGCAGUCAGAACUGAUUGGUCACUACAGAAGCUUACCGAAGUUUAUAUUCAGGAAAUUGUUAGAUUACAUGGUAUUCCGGUAUCAAUAAUUUCAGACCGAGAUCCUCGGUUUACAUCGAGAUUUUGGAGGCAAUUACAUGAGUCGUUGGGUACACGGCUUAAUUUUAACACUCAUUUCAUCAGCAAACUGACGGACAGUCCGAGCGGGUAAUUCAAAUUUUGGAAGAUAUGUUGAGAGCUUGUAUUAUCGACUUUGCGUCUGGUUGGGAACGAUAUUUUCCAUUAGCAGAAUUUGUUUAUAAUAAUAGUUUCCAAUCUAGUAUUCAGAUGGCUCCGUAUGAAGCACUAUAUGGUCGAAGGUCUCGAUCACCGAUAUGUUGGACAGAAUUGAAUGAAAGAAAAGUGAUUGGUCCGGAAUUGAUUCAAGAGACAGAGGAAACAGUUAAAAAGAUUAAAUAUAGACUGAAAGCAGCAUUCGACAGACAGAAAUCUUACGCAGAUCUGAAACGACGAGAUAUUGAAUAUUUCGUUGGUGAUAAAGUAUUCCUCAAAGUAUCGCCAUGGAAGAAAAUUUUGAGAUUUGGUCGGAAGGGAAAAUUGAGUCCACGUUUUAUUGGGCCGUAUGAAAUUGUGGAAAGAAUCGGACCGGUUGCCUAUCGAUUGGCUUUACCUCCGGAAUUACAAAGGAUUCAUGAUGUUUUUCAUGUUUCGAUGCUUCGGAGAUAUAGAUCAGAUCCUUCUCAUGUUAUUCCCACUGAAGACAUUGAAAUUCGAUCUGAUUUAACUUAUGAAGAAGAGCCGGUUCAGAUAUUAGCACGAGAAGUGAAAGAAUUAAGAAAUAAACGGGUUCCUUUAGUAAAAGUCUUAUGGAGAAGCCAUAGUGUGGAAGAAGCGACUUGGGAACCAGAAGAGACGAUGAGAGCACAAUAUCCUCAUCUCUUCUCAGGUAAAUUUCGAGGACGAAAUUUAUUAAGGGGGGAGAAAUGUAAUGACCCAAAAUUCACAAGCACCGAAAAAGUACAUUAUCGGGCCCCCGUAUUAGUAAAUUGAGUUCAAAAAUAAUUAUUAGAAAUAUUUAUUAGACUAGUUGUGUGUUUAAUUAGGUAUUAAUUGGGUGAAUUUAGUUUAAUUAAGAGAAAUUAAGAAAAAAGGACUAAAUUGAUCUAGGGGUAAAAGUUGAAUUAUAGAUUAAUAAAAGAAUAAAAAGGAUUAAAAUGGCAAUUAAGCCAUUAAUAAGAAAUGGGACGGUAAAAGUGAUAAAAAUAUUAGAUUUUUAUGUUGUCAUAUAUAUUAUUUUAUUAUAUUUUAUAUAUAUUAUUUUAUUAUAUAAUAUAUUGUAUUGUAUUGUAUUAUAUUAUAUAAGUAAAAAAAAGAUGACAAAUGUAUGGUAAAUAUUGAAGACAUGUGUAAUAGUAAUAAUUACAUGGGUACACUUGUAAUAAAAAAAAUAUGGCUUAAUUAAUAAGUAAAAGAUUUUUUUUAAUAUAUUAUUAUUAAUAUUAUUAGUUAAAAUAAAAGAUAUAAAGUAAAAGAAAUAAAGAAAUAAAGAAGAAAAGAAACAGAAUAGCUAGAAAAGAAGCAGGGAAAGAGACGAAAACAGGGGAAGAUAAGGGGAAAGAAAAAUAAAAGGGAAAACUAAGGAUUUAAAGCUUCAAGUUAAUUGGUAAGCUAAAUUUAGCCCUUUCCUCUUCAUUUUGAUAUUUUAAAAGCUUUAAAACAAAAUUUUGUUGAAGUUAAGUGGAGGUUAUGGAAGUUCAUAGGUUUUUGAACAUGAUUCAUUUUGAACAAGUUGUUAAAUUGAGGGUUUAUUUGAUAGAGUUUCUAGUUAGAGUUGAUAAAAGGAUUAAAUUGUGAACUAGACUAUAAGUUUUUAAAUUGAGGAAAAUUCGAAAUUAGAGGAAAAUUCGAAAUUAGUGAAAAAUGCUGAAAAAUUAGUAGAUAAAUUUGAGUUUAGAAGAAAUUUGAAUAGAAAUAGAGUGUGAAUUAAGUUAGAAAAAUAAGUAAGCUUAGUUAGAAUUAAAUUGGGAAUAAGUAGGAAUUGAAUAAGAAUUUUAUUAUUAUUAUUAUUGUUAAUAUAAUUAUUAUUAUUAUUUUUAAUGAUUGUAAUUAAUAGUGAAAAUAAUUAUUACUUUCGUAGCUAACAAGGAAAACGAGGCAUCGGCAUCUAAAGGAAAAGAAAAGAUCGUUGAGGAGUAAACGCGUAUUCCGGGUUUGUAUUACUAUAACUUAAUCUAUUUAAUAAAUGCUAUAUUGAAAUUGUAUUCAUGAGACAUUUAAAGGAAGGUAAGUAUUAACAUUUGAAAUUAAGUAAGAAUAUGUGUGAAUAUUGAAUUAUAUGUGAAUUGAAAUAACAGAUGUUUUGUAUUGAUUGAAUAUUUGAAAUUGUUGUGGAAAUGAAUUCGAAAUUGGAAAAGUAAAAUAAUACCCUAUUAACUUAUCGGACUAGAUUGGAUACAAAUGGCAUGCCAUAGGAUUUGUGAUGUGAUGAGGAGAUUUGUAGUUCGGCCGAGAAGAUGACUAUGUUAUUAUAUGCUUCGGUUUAUCCGAAGAGGCAUUAAAUGCCUUAUUGGUGUGUUUGGGAGGAUAUGAUAUACUGGUGUGUUAUGGAGGAUUUAAAUUAUUCCGGAUGUGUUUAGGUUGGAUAUUUUGGUGUGUUUGGGUGGAAUCCGCGUAUCUGUCAGAGUCCGAGCCUUGUUAAUAGGGUAAAUAAUUGAAAUGGAAAUUUGAAAAUGAGAUUAGUUGAUUUGACAUUAUUGAAAAAUAUGAGAAAGAAUGUAUGAUAUAAAUUAUGAAUUGAUUUAGUAUGUAAAUAUUUAAAUAUAUAAAUUUAAGAUUUAUGGAAUGAUAUAUGAAUAUUUAUAUUUAGUUUAAAGUGAUUUUUAAAGACUAUGGUCAAUAUUUGAAAUUUUAUUAUUAUUAAAUAGUUUAAUUUAUAGUAAUACCACUGAGUAUAAAAUACUCAGCGUACGGUUGUUUCCGUGCACAGGUUGAAAAUGGGUUAGAGUCUCGGUUCAGCAUCCAGGACAAUCCCGACUCCGACAUAAAGAUUUUGGUGAUGUUUUCUUCCUUUAAGAGAAAGUGGCAUGUACAUAGGAUUUAUAAUAGUUAUUUUGGCAUGUUAUAUAGUUUUGUUGUAAAGUAAGAUAUUAUGUGUUUUGAUGAUUAUAUUAGAAAAAUGGUAUAAGUUAUUUUUAUAGCAUUGGUAUCAAGUUGAAAUGGCUUAGUUAGUUUUAUGUGUUAAUUAGAAAUGAUAAUAGGAUUUUAUUUACUUAAGUUGUUAUGUCUAUAUGUCAAGUAGGAUUAAGUAUAUAAAUGCAUUGGCUGAAAUACUGAAAUUGGGUUGGUUAUGUUUGAAAUUUUGCAGGGGGUUUAAUGUAAAAAUAAGUCGAAAUGCUGCCGAAUUUUUUUAUAAAAAAAAUGAAUGAAAUCAAUUAGUACAAAUUUAUAACAAUUUAUGAAUUAUUUUAAUAUGUUGGUUAUUUAUUUCGAUUUAUUUGUAAAUUGUUUGAUAUGUACGGUAAUGCCUCGUAACCCUGUUCCGACGACGGUUUGGGGUUAGGGGGUGUUACAUAAACCUUAAAAUUGCAACUCCUAAACUGGUCUUAAAUCCUAAAUUAACCAUAUACCCUAAACCAUAUAUAUUAAACCCUAAACUAUAAUGAUAAUUAAUUGAAUAUUUUAAAAUUAAUACUAUCGUAUCUUUUACAAUUAUAUAUGAAAUUAUUUAAUAUAUAAAUUAAAAAUCAAUCAUUCAUGUGCCCUAAAAAUUUUUAAAUUAUUUUAAAUAAUAGUAUUUUAAUUUUUUCCAUUUUUAACAAGUAUUUUUCUAUGUUUUUUUAUUUGAAAUUAUUUCUACGUGUCAUUAUUUCAAAUUUAACCAUUUUUAAAAAAUAUUCAAUUAAAAAUAAAUUGAAUUUUAAUUAAUAUAAAUAAACAAAUUAAAUAGUAAAUAGACAGAUAAAAUGCAUUAGCGGCGCUUUUUCAAAAACGCCGCUAAAAGUCUGAGCAUUAGCGGCGCUUUUCAAAAAUGCCGCUAAAAGUCUUAGCAUUAGUGGCGCUUUUUCAAAAACGCCGCUAAAAGUAUGAACAUUAGCGGCGCUUUCUAAAAAACGCCGCUAAAAGCCUGAGCAUUAGUGGCGCUUCUUCAAAAACGCCGCUAAAAGCCUGAGAGCAUUAGUGGCACUUCUUCAAAAACGUCGCUAAAAGCCUGAACAUUAGCAGCGCUUUCUCAAAAACGCUGCUAAAAGCCCCGAAAGUCGAAAAUGAUGCAGUUGGGCUUAGGUUUUUAGCGGCGCUUUUCGAGAAAACGCCGCUAAUGCUCGGUCUUUAGCGGCGUUUUAUGUAAAGCGCCGCUAAUAUUUGAUUUUUAGCUGCGUUUUUUGUCCAAACGCCACUAAAAACGCCGCUAAAAACCUGUUUUGGUGUAGUGUAUGCAACCGUUUUUUUAUUGUUUAUAUCUAUUUACAAUUCAUAUUCAGGGUUCGUGGUUAUUCUUUUCAACAAAACUAUUUCUAAGGUUCAAAGUUGUAUCUCUAUUUAGGAAUGCAAAAUAUCUUACCAUUAGACCAAACACUUGAAUAAAUGAAAACUGUAUAACUAUAUAUUCCACUAAAAAAGUCAUCACUUGCUUUUCUUUUAAGGGUAAAGUACAAAAAUAUCACUAAACUAUUGCCUUUAUUCUAUUUUGGUCAUUCAAUUAUUAAUUUUUCUAAUUUAAUCAGUAAGCUUUUCAAAAUUAGAUAUUUUGAUCAUUCUCAUGUUAGUUACCAUUAGAUGAGUAACGAAAAAUUGACGUCAACCUUUUUUUUUUGUCUAAUAAUAAAUUUAGCCUUCUCAUGUUUACACAUUCUAUCAAUUUGAUCUCAAAUAUAAAAAAAAAAAUCAACAAAUUUAGCCUUUAAUGUUUGCAGAAUUUGUCAUUUUAGUUCAAAUUCUAAAAAAUUCAAUAAAUUUAGCUUUCAACAUAUACAAAAUGUCAAGUUUUGAUUUUUAAAAAUUUAUCCUAAACUUUUAGUGGUCGGAUCUCUUUUAUCAAUGUCAAGUUUAUAUAUGUAAAAUAUUAUCCUAAACAUUGAGGGUUAAAUUUAUUAAAUUUUUUAAUAUUUAGGAUCAAAUUAAUAAAAUGUGUAAAUAUUAGAUAGCUAAAUUUGUUAUUAGACCAAUAAAUAAAACUUGCAUUAGCUUUCCGCUACUCAUCUAACGGUAACUAAUGGGAGAGUGACUAAAAUAUUUAAUUUUGAAAAGUUUAGUUACUAAAUUAAAAAAAUUAAUAAUUGAGAGAUCAAAAUAGAUCAAAGUUAAUUGUUUAGAGACUACCCUUUUUUAAAUGAGGCAAGAAUUCACCUUUUAAUACAUAACCUUCUGUGUUGCUUUUACGGUUACUUUUUAUGCAUUUAGAAUAAUAUAAAUUUAUAUAAAAGAACAUUAAUAAGUAAUCAUUACUGAAAAUCAUUAAAAUUAUAUAAUAUUCAAAAAUAAAUAAAUUUUGAAUUAUAUCAUAAAUAUUUGAUAGUAGAAUUUUAUUUAAUUUGUAGGUGUAUAUUAAUAAUAGAUAAAGUUAAUUGUGAUUUUAAUUUAUUCAAAUUAUUAAAAUAACUAUUAAUUGUUAAAAUUAAUGUUAAAACAUUAAUUUCAAGUUUUAGCUUUAAUAUUAAAAACUAUUUUUUAACAUUUUAUAUUUCAAUUUUUUAAAUUUAAAAUCAAAUAACAAUAUUAUUAAUUGUAAAAAAUAGAAUGUCGAUAAUGACAAUUUAUCGCAAAGAAAAGAGAAAGAAAAAUAAAAACACAUAAAUUUUACGUAGAAACCCUUUAGGAAAAAAAACAACGGGUAGAGGAGAAGAUAAUUCACUAUGUCGAAUUCGAAUAAUUACAAGAGGAGUAGACUAUGUCUAUUUAUAGGCUUGUAAAAUCAUAUUCUAAUAGGAAUGUAGUAAGAUUGAAACACGUUAUUCUAAUCAAUAUCAAAUAGAUGGAGUUUAAUAAGGUUUAAAAAACCUUAUUCUAAAAUAAAAUAAAAGAAGUAUAGUUCUAAAGGGAUUUUACUUUUAUUUUAUUUUACCACUGUAUCUUAUUUAAAUAAGGAUUCGGGUCACUUAAUUCUAACAACCUCCACAUUGAUACGAAUUCUCAAUGAACAAGUUCUUCAUCGCGAACUCUCAACGAACAAGUUUUCUACCUCUUCCAUAAAACCCCUUAAGGAUUUAACUUCAACAUUGAACACCAAUCAAGUCUAAGCAAUGCUCAAACUUGGUUAUAGGAAGUGACUUAGUCAUCAUAUCUGCAGGAUUUUCAUGAGUACUAAUUUUGCUCACAACAAUAUCACCACGAGCAAUAAUAUCACGAACAAAAUGAUACCGAGUAUCAAUGUGUUUUGUUCUCUCAUGAAACAUUUGAUAUUUUGUAAGGAAGAUGACACUCUGACUGUCACAAAAUACUGUAUAGAUUUGAAGGUCUUCAUUGAGUUCACUAAAGAGUCCAUUCAACCAAAUAGCUUGUAACACCCCUUACCCAUAUUCGACACCAAAAUAGGGUACGAGACAUUACCAGAACACAUACACUUGUAAACAUAUUGAACCGAGUUAUAAAAUUCCAUUAAUUAUCAAAACUUUAAAAUUAUUAACAUGCUUUUAUAAUUCUUCACAAUAUAAAUAUGCAACAUUUCCUACCAACCACAAUCGAGCUUCCGAUAAUCACCUCACUGCAUCUAAUAAUUAUAUAUAUUACCAAUAAUAAUUCAAUUUCAAUAAUAAAACACAUAUCUAUAUAAUAUUCAUCAUCAAAUAGCAUUCACUUUAAUUAAAAUUAUACAGAAUAUAGUUCAUACGAACUUACCAAGCUAAAUUGCAGAAAUACCAAAAUUUAGGGACAUUUUGGUAAUUUUUUAUUUUCUCAAAUUUCCACCCAAUCUUGAUCUAAAUUAAUAUUUCAUUCAAUUUACUAAUUUAAACAAUAAAACAAUUCAUUUUAUGCAAUUUGAUCACUUUUUGACAUUUUUACAAAUUUACCCUUAAAGUUUCACAUUUGUUCAAUUCAGUCCCUGAACCUAAAACAUGUAAAUUGGUUAUUUUUAAUGAAAACUCAUGCUAGUUGAAUAAUCAUAUAUUUUCCUCCUCCUCCUCUCCAUUCCACAUCCUUAAUGUAUAUAACAUGCUUAUAGGUAACAUUAGCUAUAAUUUCACCAUUUACUUAUAUAUUCAUUCAAAGUUGUCCACUUGACUCACAUAUAUUCUUACCAUAAAAUUUUCAGAAUUUUUGGUUUAGCGAAUAAGCACAGUUUAUUCUUUAAAGUCAUCCCUGUUCUGCUGUCUGACAGUCCCGGCCCUUCUUCACUAAAAAUUAAUUAUCUCCUCAUACAGAAUUAUAAUGAUGUUUCCAUUUGUUUCUAUUGAAAAUAAACUCAUUAAGGAUUUAAAAAUAUAAAUUUAAGCCUCUAAUUAUUUUUCUCCAAUUUUUGAUGAUUUUCCAAAGUCAGUACAGGGGAACCCGAAAUCAUUCUGACCUUAUCUCACAAAACCUAUUAUAUCUCAUAAUUUACAAUUACAUUUCUUACACCGUUUCUUCUAUGAGAAACUAGACUCAAUAAUAUUUAAUUUCAUAUUUUUUUAAUCCUUUAAUUCCAUUUAUAUGAUUUUUGAUAGAUUUUCAAAGUCAGACUUCUGCUGCUGUCUCAAAACUGUUUUAGUGUAAAAUGUUGAUAACUAAAUUUAUAACACUUUCCUUUCCUUUCUCUUCAAUAUUUUCCAUCACUUUCUCUUAUUUCCCUUUACUAACAUAACAAGAAUAUAGAACCUUAUAUAAUGAAACUCUACCAUAACAUUAAUUUCCUACUUUUUCAAUAAUAUCAAACUCAAAAGUAUAUAAAAAUCUUGAUGUUCUUACCUUAUGCCAUUGAUUUCAAUCUUUAACUUGAUAUUCUAGCUCCCCAUAGUCUCCUUGUUAUCUUUCUCUCUUGAUGAAUAUGGAAAUUCUUUUGAUUUCUAAGUGAAAAUGGUGAGUUUUUGGUAAAAGGACCAAAUUGUAAAGAAAAGAAAGUUUCUCUCUUUCUUUUCUCUUCAUACGUUAGUUGCAUGGGAAAGAAGAUGAUGAUUCUUCAUCUUUUCUUCCAUAUAUAUACACUAAAUAAAAUAAUAAUAAAAUAAUAAAAUAUCAUUUAAAAAUCAAAUUAAAAUAUUAAUAAACUAAUAUUUAUUUAUUUAAUCUAAAAUAUCUUCAACAUCAUCAUUAUUUUCUAGAUUUCUCUUUCUUCUAAUUGACCACUUUGCCUUUUAGAUCUUUUAAACUUCCAUCCUUGAGUCAUCACUUAAUUUGGUAAAAUUACAAUUUAGUCCCUCAUAAUUCUUCAUCUAUUCAAUUUGGUCCCAAUUCAUCCAUCUUCCUUAGUUUCUAGAUUAUUCCACCCUUAAAAUAUUUACACUAUUAGUCCUUCAAAUUUUUUAUAUUUACACUUUAACCCCUCAAAUUUUAAGUAUUUACUCUUGGGUAACAAAACUUUUCUCACUUUUGCAAUUUAAUCCUUUCUUGAAUUAAUAUGUCAUAAUAUACUUUCCAAUGUUGACAUAACUCAAUUACCUUUUUUUAUCACUUUAUUUCCUUGUCGGAUUUGUGGUCCCGAAAUCACUGUUCCAUCUAGACCCAAAAUCGGGCUGUUACAUAGCUUCUUUACAAGCCUUAGUAAUCGCCAUGUACUCAGCUUCAGUGGUAGACAAAGCAAAUAUAGUUUGCAAAGUGGCUUUCCAACUGAUUGCACAACCUCCGAUUGUAAAGACAUAACCUGUGAGAGAUCUUCUUCUAUCAAGGUUUCCAGCAAAGUCAGCAUCAACAUACCCAAUGACUCUAUCUCUAGUUCUUCAAAUCUGUAAUCAAACAUCAGUAGUACCUCGUAAGUAUCUUAAAAUCCACUGAACUGCUUUCCAAUGUUCUUUACCGGGAUUCACCAUGUAUCUACUAACUGCACUGACAGCAUAUGAUAAAUCUGGACGUGAACAAACCAUAACAUACAUGAGAGAUCCCACUGCACUAGAGUAUGAAACAUGUGACAUGUACUCAAUCUCAUCAUAUGAUUGUGGAAACAAAGCUGAUGAAAGUCUAAAAUGGGCUGCUAAAGGAGUACUAACAACCUUAGCAUUCUGCAUAUUGAAUCUACAAAGAACUUUCUCAAUGUACCCCUUCUGACCAAGAAGAUCAUGAUUGUAAAUUCUAAAAAGGUCCUAAUUGAGGGAGUAGUACAAUGAGUUAAGUUACAGAUCAGCCAGUGGAAAGGCAAAAAAGACUUGAAGCUCAUCUACUUGAAGUCUUAGUGUCCUAGUGAAAUACUCCCGUAAAACUAAAGUUACCAAGGUAAUUAUUGUAAAUCCUAAAGGAUAGAUAUGUAUAGAGUUUAAAACCCUUAGGACUCUCAUCUUGUAGAUAGACACUAAUCUUAGUUGAUGUCAUUCAAUCUAUACCGAUGGAUUUGGGGGGAGAUCAACUAUAAAUAGAGAUCUUCUCCCUUAUUUAUAAUCAUCUCUUUGUAUUUUGUUCUUGAGUUAAAGAAUACUUUUGAGAGCAUUUACUCAAACAAGUAGUGUGUACUCUUUUUUUAUGGCUAUUCUGUUCAUUCGUGGCUUUUUUCUCUUUCAAGAUUGUUUUCGUUUUGUUUUCAGUGGCUUAAAGGAUUUUAGAAAGAAUUCUCACUUUUCAAGAGUUAGACUGACUUAGGAAGAUUUAAAUAAAAGAAAUCGCCUAAAAUUACACGGUUUUCCAGACUAGAGUUCUAGCCCUAAGACAAUAGUAUGGAGGUCUCCAUAUUGCUUUUACCGUUACUUUUUAUACAAUUAUUAAGUUAUAAAUUUAUAUAAAAACUAGUUUUUAAUAGUUGUAUAGUGCACAUUAAUAUACGUAUUGUCGAAACCAUUUUUUGAAAAACGGGGUUGACCUUUUUUGAAAACGAAAAUUAAAACGAGAGUCGCCACCAAUCCUUUUUAUUUAGGUGUGAUCGGAUCACCUCAUAAUUUAAUUAUUUUAAUAAAAGUUUAAAUUUACUAAAACAAUAAUUUUGUUGGUCUACAAAAUCCAGAAAACGGGUUCGGGAGUCGGUUACGCACGAGGAAGGACUAGCACCCUCGAUACGCGCAAAAUUGGUACUAGUUGAUUACUUUAUGUCUUAAUGUCGAAAGUUGAAAUUUUGAAAAGAUUUUAAAAUACGAUCCCUUUUUUAUUAAUGUUAAUAAAACUUGAAUAAAUCGAAAAGAGAGUUAAAGACCCACUCGUCCCAAGGUAACUAAAUACCACAUCCCGUAAGUUAAGACACGAUAUUUAGGACCUUUGAGAAUAAGCUCGCCUUUAAUUUUUAUUAAUUUUUUUUAUUUUAAAAUUUUAAAAGGAUAUUUUGCUAUUUAAGUUUAACGAGGAAACCAAAACCCCAUAAAUUAGGGCACGGUUUCUCGAAUUCCCAAAAGCGCGAAAUAUUGCCUUAUUAUUUUUUUUAAAAUUUUUCUUAUUACGAAUUGGAACAAGAAUUAAUGCAAUAUCUAAUAAGAUAUAUGUUUAAUUUAUUCGAAUGUAGUGUGAAAGCGAACAAAUAUAUAUAUAUAUUGUUGACACCAUUUUUUGAUAAAACGGGGUCAACUUGGGUUUUGAAAAACGAAAACGAAAACGGGAGUCGCCACCAAUCCUUUUUGAUGAGGUGUGAUCGGAUCACCUCGUAAAGUGGUUGUUUUUAAUAAAUAAUUUAAUUUUAUUAAAAGAACGGUUUUGGUCUACGAAAUUUAGAAAAAUGGGUUCGGGAGUCGGUUACGUACGAUGAAGGAUUAGCACCCCCAUAACGCCCAAAAUUGGUACCUAAUUGAUUAGUUAAGGUCUUAAUGUCGAAAAUUGAAAAUUUUGAAGAAUUUUAAAAAUAUGAUCCUUGUAUGAAAAUGUUAAAAAUCUUCGAAAAAUAGGCAUAUUUUACGUUAAUCGAGAAAGAGAAUCAUUUCUAGUAAGUUAGGACACAAUGUCUCAAAUUCCCAAUACGCGAAUGUAUGCUAAAAAUUUGCUUAUUUAAAAGAUAUUUAGUUAUCUCGGAUUUUAGAAAAAAAGGGAUCAGGCCCAGUAAGUUAGGACUUGAUCUUUUCUUAAUUUCCGAAGUCGUUAAAGCUUGGGUUUAAAAAAAAAGACUUGUGUUUUUAGAUUCAUCACCCAGUAAGUUAGGGUACGAUCUUCUUGAAUUUCCAAAUGCAAAAUACGGUCUUUAUUAUUUUUUAGAAAAUAUCCUCAUCUCGGGAAAACAACAUGUCAUAUCCAAUGCGUUAGGACACAACGUAUUGAAUUCCCGAUAAUGUGUUUUUUAUUAUUAUUUUUUUAAAAGAGUAAUCUCGUUUAUUUAGAUUCAACGAAGAAAAUCGGAACUCAAUACGUUAGGGCUCGAUUCUCUCGAAGAUCCCAAAUAUCGAGUAUUACUUAUAUUUUUAAAAUUUCUUUUCUUACAAAUUUAAAGAAAAAAUCAAUAUAAUGUUAAAAAUGACAAUAAUGAAUACGACGAUGUGGACAUAGAUAAUACGAGCAACUGCAAUAAAGAGGAAAAAAAAACAAAUCGAUUACAUAUAAAAUAACAAGUAAAUAAGCAAAUAAAAUUUAAACAUUCUCUCAAAAUAAUGAUGACAAUGUAAAUAAAUAAAUGAAUAAAGAAAAUGAAUAAAAAUAUGAAAAUAUAAAAAAGAUAUAUAAAUAUGUAUAUAUAUGUACGUGUUUAUGAAAAUAAAAUGGGUAUUUAGAUAUAUGUAGAUAUGUAUUAAAAUAUAUAAAAAAUAUAAAUACACAUACAAAUAUAAAUAAGUUACAAAAAUAUAUGUAUGUAUGUUUAUAUAGACAUAGUAUAAAAAUGCAUGUGUAUAUAUAAAAAUUAUGAAAUGUUUGAAAAUAUACGAGUAUGUAAAUAAAUGUAUUUUGAAGCUACAAAAUAGGUAAAACAUAUGAAAUAUAAAAUAUUCACAUGAACGUAUAUUAAAAAUAUAUGUAUAUAUGUAUUUCGAAAUUAUAUAAAAAAAAUGCAAAAGAUAUAUGCAUGGGUGGUAAUAUACGUGUAUAUAUAUAUAUACAUAUAUAUAAAUAUAGAACAUAAAAAUACAAACAUGUUUGUAUGUGCAUGUAUAUAUAAUGAAGCUUGGGAUCAAAAGUAUAUAUAAAUACAUGGUGAUAAUAAUAAAUAAGAAAUACAAUAAAUAAUCAUGCAUGAACAAUAAUAUUAAAUUGAUAAAUGAGAAUAGUAAUAAUAAUAAUAAUAGAAGUAAAAAUAUAUAAAAUAAAAGUAAGUAAUAGUAACAACAGUAUUAAACAUAAUGAUAAUAGUAAAAAUAAUGAUAACAUUAUUAAAAUUAAUUAAUAGCAACAAUAGACAGAAGGGGGACUAAUUUGAACUUAAGACAGAACUUCGGGGAGAAAUCCGUAAAUAAAUAAGGGAGGAGGACCCUCUGAACACGGGUGUAUUGUUGGGGGACUAAAAUAGAAAUUUUCCCUCUCCCCCGAAACGGUGCAGUUCCAUCGAGGACCAAAAUGAAAUAGCAAUAAAUUUAUGGGGCGCAUAUUAAAAGACCAAAGAGACUUGAUUGCAAAGUAUAGAAAAAUCGGAGGGGCUAAAACGACAAAUAACCCAACGCUCGAAACGCGCGGAUCCUGGGGUGAAACGACGUCGUUUUAGGGCUACUGUGGUCAGCCCGAAACGACGUCGUUUAGUCCGUCUAUAUAAGUCAAAUUUAUUUUAAAAAAAAACUUCAGUUCUUUGCUCUUCAGAAAAAAAAUGAGAGUUUUUCUCUCAAAAGCCCCUCUCCCCCGGUCCUAGCUCCGACCGAUAGUCACCGUGCCGGAUCCCGGUCGCCGGUGGCCGGCGAAGGUAAAAAGGGUGUUUUUUUAGAUCUCGCCCCCCUAAGCCCAAAUCUGGCCUUAAAAUGCCCAAAAAGCAAAAGAAAAAGGACCACCAGCCUUCUCAACGACCGAUUCUGUCACCGGAGGUGAAGCCUCCGACUACAAGGACACGGAACGACUCCGGUGAGUUCCUCUUCCCCUUUCUUUUUGUUUUAUUUUAGUAUAUAAAAACGAAAGCAAAAAAAGAAAAAAUAGCAGUGAACAAAUAUUAUGAAAACUCCAAAGUUUCUUUUCUUUUAUUUCUGAUUUUUUUGUAUCAUCCCCCCCCCCCCGAAGAAAGAGCUUUACAAUCGGUUUUUGCUUGGCUUUUAUAGCUAUUUUUGUUACAAUAUUUUUGCUUUUGUUGUUACUAUUUGCCGCUGUUUCGUUUCUGCUUUGCGUGUUUCCUCUAGUUUACAGGGUUGCUGGAGCAGGUGGGCAGAGGGCAGGUGCGGCGCUGGAUGUGACGGAGGCGCAGAAGACCGAGGGUCAGAAGACCCUAGGUGCGGCGCCUAGGGUUCUUUUGUUUUCUGCUAGGGCUUUUCAUAGUUUUGGGUUUUGGGCUAAGGUAUUGUAAUGGGUUUUGGGCUUAUUUGUUUUCUCUGGUGGGCCGGGCAAAUUUGGGCUUCUACAUAUAUAUUUUAAAAACGUAAUGUAUAAUACGAUAAUAACGAAAUAAUGGAAGAUAACUAUAUGAGUAAAAUAUUUAAAAGGUAAAUAACAAGUAAUGGAAUACAAUAAUAAUGAUGAUGUGAUUAUAAUAACACCAAAUAAUAACAAUAAUCAUAUUAACUAUUAUUCUAAUGCUAAAACAAUAGAAAUGAAUUAAACAUUAAUAAUGAUGAUAAUGAAAUGUGUAAGUAAAGAAGCAAACAACACUAUAAAUUCUAAUUACAAGAAAAAUAAAAAUAAAAUAAAAAAUAUACGAAUGAAUAUGCGAAUAAAUAAAUAAAACAAAAAAGAGUAAAUAAAUAAUAAAAGCUUGAAAUUAAACAACGAAGGAUUAAAUUGGGAUUAAAAUAAAAUUUAGAGUCAAAAUUAUGAUGAAAUAGGUGAAUAAACAUAAAAGGGACUAAAUCAGAGCUUGAAUGGGAUUUAAAGGUAUAAAUUACAAAUAAAAAAAGGGAAAAGGGGCAAACUAAAACGCGCUGAAAAAGGGUGAGGACUAGAUGGGAAAUUAUUCCUAGUCCUUUGGAGAGCACCGUUUCAAUUUGGACCGAAAUGAAGAAAAAUGAAAUUAUGCCGUAAAAUGUAAGAAAGAAAAAAAGUUUAGGACUAAAUUGCAAAGUCGCGUAAAAGAGGAAAGGCCAUAUGCGAAAUUACCCCUUCAACGCAGAAACACGAGGAUCCUGAGGGCCAACGGGUUGGUUUUCGAGUCUGAGGCCAAAACGAUGUCAUUUUGGCCUCUAGGCUCACUCCUCAAAACGGCGUCGUUUCAUGUCUUUACUUAAACUAAAUUUUUUUCUUAAAAUUUCAUUUUUUUCAGUGUUUAAAAAAAAACUUCAAAAACCUCCCAUCUCUCUCAAAAAACUCUCCCCCCAUUCGGCCGAUGGUCUCCCUCGACCUCCGUCGCGCCACCGCUGUGGCCAGCAGCCGGCACUAGAAAAAUGGGCCCCUUAGCCCUUAUUGUACGGCGUCCUUGAUCGCUAAGCUCUCUCAACCCGCGAGGAUAAAAAAAACAGGGGAGACUCUCGACGCCUUCGGACCCGAAUCGGGUGAUGAAGGAGAAGCCCUCUAACAGCGUGGCCACGAUCGUCUCCGGUGAGUCUCCUUUUCCCCCUUUUUUAUUUUUAUUACUUAGUAUGUAAAAAAUAACAAUAAAGUAAAAAAGGAUAAAUAACGAGAAUCGAACCAGAAAGCAAAAAGAAAAUCACCUCUCAAAUCUGUUCUGUUUUCGUUUUUUUAAUCUUCGUAAAAAAGAAAAAAAAUUACAGAGAUAAAAUUCGGCUUUUAUAGCCGAUUUGAAAAACCCCUAGUUUUCUAUUUUUUUGUCGUUUUGCAAUUUGGCUUUUUCUUUCUGUUGCGUGUUCAUUUGUUUUGCAGGUGUCAGACGCGUGAGGAGGCGUGUGGCGGCCAGGGGCAGAAGACCUAAGUGCGGUGCACCUAGGGUUGGCAAUCUUUUGUUUUCUUUCUGUUAAGGGUAUUGGGUUAGGGUUAGGGAUUUUUGUAUUGGGCUUAAGUCCUGUAAUGAAUUGGGUUUAAUGUUUUCAUUUUGGUGUUUGGUUUUGUUUGGGCCAUAUUGGGCCCCGGGCAAAAAUGGGCUUGUACACGUAUUUAUAUUUUUAUUCUUUAAUAAAUUGUUUUAUUUCAUAUACUUGCUACAAGUAAUUAUUACUGAAAAUUAUUAAAAUAUAUAAUUUUAAAAAAUAAAUUAAUUUUAAAGUAUACUAUAAGUAAUUGAUAUUAGAAUUUGAUUUUAUUUGUAUGUGUGCACUAAUAAUAGAUAAAUUAAUUGUGAUUUAAAUUUAUUGAAAUUAUUGAAAUAACUACUAAUUUUUAAAAUUAAUGUUAAAACAUUAAUUUCAAAUUUUAGUUUUAAUAUUAAGUGGGUAUUUUUUAACAUUUCAUAUUUCAAAUUUUUUUCUAAUUUAAAAUCAAAUAACAAUAUUAUUAAUUAAAAAGUGAAUUCAAAUUGUAUCAAAUAUAAUCAAAUUAAACUUUAUGAAUCUUGUUCAAAAUCAAUUUAUCUAAGUGGGAAGAGAUUAUUAUAACAUAUUUUUCAAUAAAACAACAAUUGAGAUUGAAUCAUAUAAUUGUAUUAUAAAAAGUAUUAUGGAAUAAAUUAAACACUAAUUAGAAAACUUAAACUUUCUAAAAAUAAUUAAAAUAAAAUUAUAGUUAGAAAAAAAUUAAAAAUCUAAAUUCCUUAAAAAUUAAAAUAAAAUCUAAUUUAAAAAUAAAUACUUAAAUAUUAGUAAUAUAUUUAAAUUUUCUAUAUUAAUCUUUUUCUUCAAUUGAUUUCUUUUAGACAAAUCUAAUUUAUCAAUGCCAAUAACCUUUUUAUUUUUUAUGUGAUUAUGGAAAUCACUAUGAUAAUUGAAGUCAAUCACAAGACAUGUUAGGUUUAUGGUUUAAAUUAUAGAAUCAAAAGUGUAAAUAAAUAUUAUAUAUGGAUAUAAAAAACAAAAUUGAGAAAAUAAAACCUAUCAUCCAUUCUAAAAAUAGUUUUGAUCCCGUCACCUUUAAGCCUCGUUUAAUGCCCAUGGAGUUGCAUGAAUAAUGUUGGUGUAAUUUAAAUGUUAUUGUUUGAAAAUACUUAAUAUCGAAUGCUAUUUAUAAUUGUAAUUUUUAAUUUUAAUUAGGAUAUGGAGAUGUCAUUAAUUUAAUAAUAAGUAAUUAAAAAUGAUAUCAUUUACGGAUCAAGAAAUCAUAGGAGGGAUGGCUAGAAAAUAAUUAAACUAAAAAAAAAGGAAAAAGAAAAAAAGCUUAUCAGCCUUUGUUGAUAAGGAAAAUUUGCCACAAACUUGAACAAGUAGAUUAAUUUGUCUCACUCUAAGAACACACCUGGUUCGUUUGUGAAGUAAAAACACUUCCAAGAUCCCCAGCACCUAUGGUCAACAACCAAACCCCACAAUCAGUCCUAAUUCCUAGUUAACUUGAAACCAAAAUAUUAACAAUGAUUCGUUCAAUCCAUUCGUCACCUACCUUCAAAACCGAGCAACCCCCAACUAUGGAUCCGAACAAGAUAGGUCACCACUCUCACAAUUCGUUACUGACAAAUCUGAAAGACCCAAUAAGACAACAAUUCACAUCUUCAUAGCUUAAAAGAAUAGAAAAGCUUCCCCUAAUUCACCAAACACAAUCACCUUACCUACUAAACGAGUGACGACAUAACCAGACUGCUCCAAUGCUAACCGAAUCGUUCUGGCCCUUAACCUUCAACAAUGAAACAGUCGACCUAUCACCAAAAAUCCAUAAACCAAAUAACACCGCAGUUACAAAACUUACAACCAACGCGCAAAGGCAAAACGGAGAUGACAAAUUGCGGCAACAAGAAUUUUAGAAGGAAAUGGACUACUAGAAAAAUCAAAGUAGGGAGAGAAUGAAAUUUUUAGCAGUAGUCAACAACAAACAAAAAGAUGAGAAAAGGAAGGCCAAGGGCACAAUUCGUAGAGAGAAUAAUAGCCAAGUAAAAAAAUAGAGGAGGAAAAACAGUUGGCUGCAAAGGAGAGAAAAGAAUCGGCAAAGAAAAUGAAGGGGAAGGAUGAAAAGAGGGAGAAGAUUCGACUAAGGGAGGAGGAGGACGUUUGUUCACCUUUUUCUCUGAAAAGUAAAAAUUUGGGAAGCACAGAAUUCCACUCAAUCACCACUAUCCCCUAAAUCCCUUAAUUAACUCCCCCUAUCCCUAAUUUCACUCCCCAACCGUCCACUACAAUCCCCUCAACCACCGAAUUCAAAUCCUACUCAAACUCUUCAGAAUUUCGGUCAAACUACAACACCCUCACGGCACAAGCAGUAAAUAUAAAUCCCAUAUUUGCACAAGGACUUGAACUCAAAAACUUCUACUUAAUUACACUCCACUUAACCACCAGACCAAUAGACCCAUUCAUACAUAUUUUACCAAUAUUUGUUUAUAAGCCUACUGACUAGAGAUAGAGGUUUAUUCAUUUAAAAACAAAAAAUUUAACCAAGCUAAUGCUUGAUCUUGGAACUUCUCAAACACUCCCAGAACAUAACCACAAAAACUAACGGAUAUUUAUGUCACAAACAUACGAAAAUGAAUAUAUAAGGGAUUUUUGGGGCAUUACAAAUUUUGAAUAAAUAAUAAUAUAUCUAAUUAAUUAACAUAAAUAUCUAAGAUUUUUAUACACAUUUGUGGCCUCAUUUAAUGGAAUAGGCUUAAUUGCCUAUUUAAUCCCUAUUAUUUUCUUUUAAUCUAUAAUUAAACUUUUACACCUUAUUCUAUUUAGUCCUUUUUCCUAAUUUCUCCUACUUAAACUAAAUUCAUCCAAUUAAAACUUAAUCGGACACAUUACUAGACUCAUAAUUACUCCUAAUAAUUAUUUACGGACUAGGUUUACUAAGACGGAGGCCCGAUAUUGUACUUUUUCGAUGCCCGUGAAUUUUGGAUCAUUACAUCUUGUAGAUAGACACUAAUCUUAGUUGAUGUAAUUCAAUCUAUACCGAUGGAUUUGGGGGGGAGAUCAACUAUAAAUAGAAAUCUUCUCCCUCAUUUGUAAUAAUCUCUUUGUAUUUCGUUCUUGAGUUAAAGAAUACUUUUGAGAGCAUUUACUCAAACACGUAGUGUGUGCUCUUUUUCUGUGGCUUUUUUCUCUUUCGAGAUUGCUUUUGUUUUGUUUUCGGUGGCUUAAAGGAUUUUAGAAAAAAUUCUCACUUUUCAAGAGUUAGAUUGACUUAGGAAGAUUUAAAUCAAAUAAAUCGCCUAAAACUACACAAUUUUCUAGACUAAAGUUCUAGCCCCAUGACAAUAGUACAGAGGUCUGCAUAUUGCUUUUACCGUUACUUUUUAUACAAUUAUAAAGUUAUAAAUUUAUAUAAAACUAGUUUUUAAUAGUUGUGCGGUGCACAUUAAUAUACGUAUUUAUAUUUUUAUUAUUUAAUAAGUUAUUUUAUUUCAUAUACUUACUACAAGUAAUUAUUACUGAAAAUUAUUAAAAUAUAUAAUUUUAAAAAAUAAAUAAAAUUUAAAUUAUACUAUAAGUAAUUGAUAUUAGAAUUUGAUUUUACUUGUAUGUCUGCACUAAUAAUAGAUAAAUUAAUUGUGAUUUAAAUUUAUUGAAAUUAUUGAAAUAACUACUAAUUUUUAAAAUUAAUGUUAAAACAUUAAUUUCAAUUUUUAGUUUUAAUAUUAAAAGGGUAUUUUUUUAACAUUUUAUAUUUCAAAUAUUUUUUUCUAAUUUAAAAUCAAAUAACAAUAUUAUUAAUUAAAAAGUGAAUUCAAAUUGUAUCAAAUUUAAUUAAAUUAAAAAGAGAUUAUCAUAACAUAUUUUUCAAUUAAAACAACAAUUGAGAUUGAAUCAUAUAAUUGUAUUAUAAAAAAUAUUAUGGAAUAAAUUAAACACUAAUUAGAAAACUUAAACUUUCUAAAAUAAUUAAAAUAAAAUUAUAUUAAAAAAAUAAAAAAUCUAAAUUCCUUAAAAACUAAAAUAAAAUCUAAUUUAAAAAUAAAUGCUUAAAUAUUAGUAAUAUAUUUAAAUUUUCUAUAUUAAUCUUUUUCUUCAAUUGAUUUUUUUUGACAAAUCUAAUUUAUCAAUGCCAAUAGCCUUUUUUUUCUUUUAUGUGAUUAUGGAAAUCACUAUGAUAAUUGAAUUCAACCAAAUCACAAGACAUGUUAGGUUUAUGGCUUAAAUUAUAGAAUCAAAAGUGUAAAUAAAUAUUAUAUAUGGAUAUAAAAAACAAAAUUGAGAAAAUAAAACCUAUCACCCAUUCUAAAAAUAGUUUUGAUCCCGUCACCUUUAAGCCUCGUUUAAUGCCCAUGGAGUUGCAUGAAUAAUGUUGAUGUAAUUUAAAUGUUAUUGUUUGAAAAUACUUAAUAUUGAAUGCUAUUUAUAAUUGUAACUUUUAAUUUUAAUUAGGAUAUGGAGAUGUCAUUAAUUUAAUAAUAAGUAAUUAAAAAUGAUAUCAUUUACGGAUCAAGAAAUCAUAGGAGGGAUGGCUAGAAAAUAUUUAAACUAAAAAAAAAGGAAAAAGAAAAAAAGCUUAUCAGCCUUUGGUGAUAAGGAAAAUUUGCCACAAACUUGAACAAGUAGAUUAAUUUGUCUCACUCUAAGAAAGUAAAAUGAUAAGAAUCAAGGUUACUUGUGACUAAAUAAAGAAACUUGCUUAGAUAAGAGUAGAUAAGAAUUGCAAUAAACAAAGCCUGAAAUUUAGAACAUUCAACAUAUAUCAUGUUGUUUCAUUACUUUGAAAGGAUAUUUUUAUAAGAAAUUAGAACAUCCCCUAAGCAUAGGUAAUAAGUACAUAUAUUAGUGGUUACAUUAAUGACCAAAUACAUGCAUCUAAUCUUAUAUACAUGCAUAAUCACAAAGUGUAUGUUUGUGUUAUGGGGCUAGAACUUUAGUCGGGCAAACUGCAUUGUCUUAUAUACAUGCAUCAUAUCAACAUAAAGAACACUUGGAUUCACACAUAUGUUGUCACGCUAAUAUCAUUAAAACAAUUUCAUUUAAAAAAAUAAAUUGACAGUUUUUAAAAGAUUAAUAACCAAAUUUAAUUUAAAAUAAAAAAUAAAAACCAAAUUAAUAAAUAUAUAUAGAUUUUAAGAAAUAAAUUUAUCAUAAUACUUUUUAUGUCUACAAUUCUUUCAUGGGUAUGCUUAUAUUACUUUUUGUGUAGUGUCUUGUUUUACAUAGUUUAUAAUUGUCCCAACGAAUUUAAUUUAGAAUUUCUUUUUUUUUGUUUAUACUGUGUGUUGUGUCAAUUUAUUUAUUUAUUUAAAAUGUGUCUUUUAUGUUCUAUAUAUAUUUUUUCAUUUGUAAGCUAUUAUAAGAUUAUAUAUUUAUUUAUACAUUAAUAAUUUUUCUUAUGUAAAAUUUUGUACGUUCACAUAUUUUUAUCGUAUUUAUUUUAUUUUCCAUGACACGAUAUUUUUAAUUAUUUUUAAUACUUUUAUAUCAUGUUUUAAUUCUACAAUGUUCCUAGUUUUAUCAAAAUAAUUCAAUUUUAUUCUAAAUCCAUCUAUUUAACAAUUGAGUUAUUACAGAUGUCAUAUAUUUAUACAAUUAUGCUGUUAAAAAACUUAAUCCUAUUUCAUGAAGCAUAGGGAUCAGCAGGUACUUUCCAGUUCUUAUAAAUUAUGGACCAUAUUAUUUAACAUUAAAUUUAUUUUUAAAUAUUUUAAAAAUGGUGAAUAUAGGAUCUUUGUACUAAUAAAAAAAUAAAUAAUAUCCAAUUAUAAUAACAUUAAUAUUUAUUUUUUAUAUGAAUUUUUUUUCAUUUGCAGUUAUACUUCCAACAACAUACUUCAUUUACAAAAUAAAAAAAAAAAUUAAAAAUAUAAUUUUAUUAAACAAUAAGUCUAACAUUGAUAGCUGGAUUUCUAAGGGCAAUUUACUAAUAAAAGCCCAUUUUUUGUAAAAAUUGUCGAAAUGGGCCCAUUAUUUAAUUAUUUACCGGAAUGGUCCAUUUUCCGGCAAAUCGCGUCCACAUCAGCGCGAUGUUAGGGGAUGCAUCAGGAAAUCGUGGACACGUCAGCGCGAGAUGCUGACAUGGCAACAAAUCGCUUCCUCAAGGACGCGAUUUGCUGCCACGUCAGCAUCUCGCGCUGACAUGGCCGUGAUUUCCCCGCGCGUGAACAGUGCCCCAACGGUCAAAAAUUUGACCGUUGCCCCCCCAACGGUCAAAAAAAAAACUAUAAAUACCCCCCACCCCUUUUUAUUUUUUCACAAACUAAUCCUCUCUCAUAUUUCCUCUCAAUUUCCUCUAAAUUUCCUUCUAAAAUUCUCUCAAAUCCAUAUUUAAUUUCAAUUUCCUCUCAAUUUCCUUCCAAAAUUCUCUCACAUCCAUAUUUAAUUUCAAUUUGCUUUCAAUUUCCUUUUUUAAAAUAAUUUUAAAAUUUUUUAUAUUUUUAAAAAUCAUAAAAAUUUGUACGAAUUCAUCAAUGGCCGAAUCAUUGACUCGUCUUGAUAAGCAUCACAUAUCGGUGGAACAAAUAAAAAUGGUAAGUGUUAAAUUCAAUUUUUAAAUAUUAUUUAAGAAAUUUUUAUUUAUGCAUUUUUAGAUAAUUAUUAAUUUAUUAUUUGUUAUAAAAGUCUGUAGAUCGGGUAUUGGAAUGCAAUAUCCGAAAUAUGCAUGGUCCUCCAUCACCGUUGGUAGAGAACUACCUGCGGGAAGCGGGUUUUUGGCACGUGGCGACUGUAGGCCGGGGAUGCAAGUUGUACCCGAAACUAAUUAGUGCGUUGAUCGAGAGGCGGAGACCCGAGACGCACACAUUCCAUCUUCCAUAUGGAGAGUGCACUAUCACUCUAGAAGAUGUGAGUCUGCAAUUGGGAUUGCCGGUGGAGGGGCACCCAGUCAUCGGGUCUUGCCAAUCUAGCAAUUGGGAGGCGGUGUGCUACGAGCUUUUGGGCGCUAUUCCGGAUAAAAUGGAGGGAGGUAAAAUCGAGAUGGGCUGGUUACCUGACACAUUCCCUGAUCCGGAUGAAGAUUCAACCAAAAUUGAAAGAAUCCGAUAUGCUCGGGCAUACAUUCUUCAAUUAAUUGGAGGUUAUCUGAUGGCCGACACGUCACAGAGCCGCGUACAUCUAAGAUGGCUGCUGAAACUCGUUGAUUUUAGAGCAGCCGGUGAACUCAGUUAGGGGUCUGCUGUAUUGGCAACGUUGUAUCGGGAGAUGUGCGGGGCGACGCGACCGAGGAGAGCGAAAAUCGGAGGUUGCCUAUCACUACUGCAGUCAUGGGCACGGUUUCGCUUUCCAUUUCUACGUCCUCGAGUGGACCACCCAUUUACAUUCCACUCAUAACGAGGUAAAUUUUAUAUUAGAUUUUACAAUUAUUAUGUAGAUUUUUAAAAAUAAAAGUAUGCUAAAAAUUUAUUUAAUUAAGUGGAACCAUCCGGUAAGUUAUUCUCGAUUACCUAGCUCUCUUGAAGAUAUACGGCUUCUAUUGGACCAACGGUCAAAAGCACAAGUGAGUAUGAAAUAAAAUAGAUAUUUCCAUACAUUCGCUAGUCGAUUAGUAUUUAGUAUUUAGUAUUAUUAUGUAUAUAACUAAUAUUUCUAUCAUGUUCAUAUAGUUUGAAUGGACAUUAUACGAGGAUCCGGCAAUUCGGACAGUAAUUCUGGAAGAGUUCUUACAAAAUCCGAACGCCUGGCACGUGAAAGUCGUGUUGAUCAACUACGCAGCCAUGGAGCCGCACCAGUCAGACAGAGUGCUACGACAGUUUGGAUGUAGACAACCGAUUCCUGUGGAUCCUGAGGAGUUUGACAAUCAACACAAAGUCAACCUUCGGCAAUUGAAUACGGAUUGGCAGAGAUACUGGUCCGAGUACAUGGAAAUGUGGGAAGAUCGGCAUGAAUAUAUACCUACUCGGGAACCAAUCAUCGUUCCGGAGUUAGCGUGCGUUCCAGAAUACAUGCCAUGGUUUAGGAUCCAUGGCAAGCCGUAUUUACUGACGCCAGAGGAGAGGUAGCGGCAAAUACGUGUCGAAAAGGAAAGGCGCGGGCCUCUAAAUCUAAGACGACAAGACGACGAAGGCAGCCCCUCAACGAGGCCCAGACAUUCACCCGACUCAUUAUCAGCGGCCAUGCAAAUACCAGGCCCAACGAGAGCACCGACACAGUCAUCCAACGCAGCAGUUUAACCGAUGAUACCCACGCAACUGCCUUUUCAUAUGAUGCCAGGUGCGUUUCCUAGCCCUUAUAUGUAUCCUAACCCUUAUAUGUAUCCUUUUUCGAGUCCUAUGGUAGGUUGGAGUCAAAUGCCCAGUUCAACUCCAUUUCCUAUUAUGCCGAGUGGACCACCGAUGUAUAGGCCAGCGGUGCACGAGGGAUCACAAGAGGGACCGUCGGGGAGCCCUCCUUUUUACCAAUCCCCAACAACGUAUGGGUUUCAGACACCGUCGCCAUUCGUGAUGCAAACACCUCCACAUACACUAUUCUUUGAAGGUGGAUCAUCGUCCCAAGUUUGACAACUAGAUACCGUACCGGAAGAACCAGAAUCCCCGCUGGAAGAACAACAACCGCCGCCGGAAGCUAGAGAAAGGAGGAAUCCAGCGCGUAACCGUCGACGGCCGCCAUGUGACACUAAAUCCCCCGGACAUAGACAUUGAUUAAAUGUAUUUAAAAUUAUUUGUAUAAAUAUUUUGAAUAUUUUGAUAUUAUUUGAUGUAAUAAAAUAGAAGUUCAUUUGAUGUAAUAAAAUAGAAUUUUUUUUGAGUUAUUUUGAUAUUAUUUGAUGUAAUAAAAUAGAAGUUUAUUUGAUGUAAUAAAAUAGAAUAUUUUGAAUAUUUUGAAUAUUUUAAUGUUAUUUGAGAAUUCUACUAACCAUUAAUAACCUAAUUAAAUUGAAAACCCUAACCUAAUUAAACUAAAAACCCUAACCCUAAUUAAAUUGAAAACCCUAACCUAAUUAAAUUGAAAACCCUAAACCUAAUUAAAUUGAAAACCCUAACCCUAAUUAAAUUGAAAACCCUAACCUAAUUAAAUUGAAAACCCUAAACCUAAUUAAAUUGAAAACCCUAACCCUAAUUAAAUUGAAAACCCUAACCUAAUUAAAUUGAAAACCCUAACCCUAAUUAAAUUGAAAACCCUAACCUAAUUAAGUUGCCCUAACCCUUAACAUUCACAUAAUGUUAGAUUUGGAAAAAUGUUUUUUCCUGGUACUAACAAUUAAUAAUUUCAUAUAAUUUGAUAAUUUUACUAACCAUUAAUACAAUUUUUUGAGUUAUUAAUUUUACAUUCACAUAAUGUUAUAUUUGGAAAAAUGUUUUGACUGGUACUAACAAUUAAUAAUUUUAUAUAAUUUAAUAAUUUUACUAACCAUUAAUACAAUUUAUCAAUUACUAAUUUUACAAAUAUAAUUUUGUUACAAUUACAUUCAACUAUUGCGAUUAGGGCAUGAUCGACUUGUAUGGCAUGGAUUCCUACACCAUCCGCACAACUUCGUUUGACUGGCUAUUUCUCGGAUAUCCAUAUUGUUACGUAUUCUAGUCGAGCAAGGUCGACCAUUUGGUUUACGACGUAAUUCUCUAUCCGGUAACAGCUUAAAAGGAGCAAGAGAUACAGGCGGCCACUUACGUUCAUCUGGGACCGGUGGGAAAACGUGUCUCCAUACGCUGUACAUGUUUUCUAAUUUGUACACUUCGUCCACAUACCUCAUCGGAUCCAGACGGAGAUCCUGACAAGCUGCAAUGACAUGAGCGCAUGGAUAACGAAGUGCAUCAAACAUCCCACAGUCAUAAGUCCUGUUUCGUAAGUGUACACGAUAUUGCCCGCCAACAACACCUUCGUGCAGUCUGUCAAACUCUGUCACGCGAAACCAUAAAUUGCCUCGAUCGUGACAUACUGUGUACAUGGUGUUUGCCCUCGCCUUGGCCUUGUUAAUUUCUUGAACUACCUUACUGCACCAAACAUGGCCUCCCUGCAUCUGGCCUACAUAAGUUGCCGCUCGCUUUGGAAAUAGCGCCGCCAAACGGAAAUAUGUCUCUCGCACAAUCGUUGUUAUCGGUAGAUGGCGCGUUCCUUUAAGAACAGAAUUUAUGCAUUCAGCCAUGUUCGACGUCAUAUGGCCAUAUCGUAGGCCUUUGUCGUAUGCUUGUGCCCAUUGUUCGAAACGUAUGUUACAAAGGUAGUCCUCCCCUUCUGCGUUAAUUAAACGUAAAAUUGCCAACAUCUCGUGAAAACAAUCUUUAUUUAUUUCAUACCCUGCCAAUAUAAGAUCAUAGCGAAUAAUUUAUACCACUUCUACCAAUAAAACUAAUUCAAUUUGACAAACGAAAUAACACAUAUAUAGAUUAAAUACCCAUGUUGGUCACUUGUCGUCGUUCGCUCUUAGAGUAUAUUGCCUGUAGUAGUUCGAAGCAAUGUGUCUUAGGCAAUAUCUAUGGUGUGUGCACUGCCAUAAGCUUCUCUGUCGAUCAAAUGCAGCUAGUAUACCGGCGCCCCGAUCUGAAAUAACACAGAUAUCAUGUUGGGGGCACACAUGCCUCCUUAACCUGGACAGAAAGAAAUCCCAGUCAUCAGACGACUCCCCUAGUGUUAUUGCAAAUGCAAUUGGAAGAAUUCUCCCACCGCCAUCCAAUGCCACUGCAAGCAAUAACCGAUGAGUAUACCUACCGAACAUAAAGGUACCGUCAAUUUGUACCAACGGCUUGCAGUAUGGAAAUGCGUCUCGGCAUUGCUUAAAGGUCCAAAACAGGCGUUUGAACACUUUGCAUCCACGUAGCAAUCGGUCGUUGUAGUACGCAUCUUCCAUUUCAAGGUCUGUGAUGGCACCUGGGACGUAUCUCUCUAGCACCUGACACCACUGCCAUAUUUCAUUAUAUGAGGCGUCCCACCCACUAUGCAUCUUCUCCAACGCCUUUUGCUUAGCUAUCCAAGCCUUGCGGUAAGAGGGCGUGUACCCCAUUUGGCAACGGAUACUGGCAAUUAACACCGGCACUGAAGUCCUGGGAUCUACUUUUAUCGUGGGCAGUAUCAAGCUAGCUAACAUAGCUGAAUCCAUCUUGGGAUGAUCUUGUAAAACACCUAUUAACGGAGUACAUUAAAUAAUGCAACAUUACAUAAUAAAAGUAUUAUUCAGAUACCGUCAAUACUGUACCUGCAGCACAUGUAUGUGGACCUUUGUACUUUUUUAUCUCCCACAACCCUGUCCUUUUCCUUAACGAGGCGUAGAUUUUCCAUGAACAUGUGCCGUCUUGCACCGCACACUUCGUCUCGAACUUAUCAGAUUUAGAUUUAACGACGUGGUAGUUAACGCCGUUUUUGAUGCUAUGUUGUUUCAAAGCACCAAUAAAACUAUCCUUGUUGGUAAACUGAUUACCAACUUCAAAUUUACCAGAAUCUACCCUUGAACUUGUACGAUCACGCAACCGGUGUGGUAGAUCUGGAAACUCUAGCGCAUCAUCUGCAGACAGAUCAACAUUAUGCAAGUGGGUUGGAGGUGAGUAUGCCCUGAAUCGUGGAUUUUCUUCUUCUUCUGAACUCCUUUCACCAUAUUCAGGUUCUGUUGGAAUAGGCUCCGGUUCAGAAAAUAAGCCAACUUCUGCACCAUCCGGCCCGGGCUCUCGAGGUGGAUCCACAUCGGAGUCAUCUUCUAACCCACAAUCAUCUACAGCGUACGAGGUCCCCUCACCGGUUGACGUCGUAGGGAGUAUGUCAUCCCUUCUUCUGGGCAUUUGAUAACGUCCCCAAUUGGAUGGAGAUUGCCACCUACUAGAACUUGAUGUCGUUUCCCAGUACGUAUUUCCAGCAUCAAACGUCGAGCCACCGACGUACAUGUCUCAUCCACUGACAGAGUGUCUUGCAGGGGAUGUGCAUUCGACACUGCUACCGAACAUGGGCUGUUUCGUAUUUUAUAACCCGCUAAUCAAGUGUUGGCCAGGGGUCGUGUAUACAUCUCGAACACCGGUCAUAGGUACAUCAGUUGGCGAUGUAAAUUGUACAUAUAACUCAAUAUAAGGUGCUCCACUAGCAAGAUGAGUCUGCACCAUUGCCUCCAAGCUACGAGCACCUUUUAUGUCGAACGAGUCAUAUGUCACCGGAUCAACAGAAGAACAAAAUCGAUACGUGAUUGACAGAAAUUUCAUUGGCGUCGUUCCGAAAAUUUUACGCCUAAUUCUUUUAUGAAGUUUUGUCAAAUCUAUGUUCUGGUUAAAAACCAGUCGCACCGUAUUCUCCGACAAAAAAACAACACCAUUCUCGGUAUGGCAAACCUCACCAUCGUAGUAAAUAACAGCACUAAUACGUUCACUCAUCUUUGAAACUCUAACCUUCUUAGCCUCACUAUAUUGAGAGGAAAUUGAAAUUAAAUAUGGAUUUGAGAGAAUUUUGGAAGGAAAUUGAGAGGAAAUCUAGAGGAAAUUGAGAGGAAAUAUGAGAGAGGAUUAGUUUGUGAAAAAAUAAAAAGGGGUGGGGGUAUUUAUAGUUUUUUUUGACCGUUAGGGGGCAACGGUCAAAUUUUUGACUGUUGGGGCUCUGUUCACGCGCGGGGAAAUCGCGGCCACGUCAACGCGAGAUGCUGACGUGGCAGCAAAUCGCAUCCUUGAGGAAGCGAUUUGUUUCCAUGUCAACAUCUCGCGCUGACGUGGCCGUGAUUUCCUGACGCGCCCCCUAACAUCGCGCUGACGUGGACGCGAUUUGCCGAAAAAUGGACCAUUCCGGUAAAUAAUUAAAUAAUGGGCCCAUUUCGGUAAUUUUGCAAAAAAUGGGCUUUUUUGUGUAAAUUGUCCGAUUUCUAAAGCUGCAGUUUUUGACAUUGAAUGAAACUCAAACAGAGAAAAAUACAUCUUACAGGAAAAGGAAAGAAAAAAUAGAGGAUGUACAACUAAGGAAAGAAACUAACAGAGGGUGGCCCUACAUCAUGAUAAGGAUGAUGGGCACCCAAACCGUAAAAUUUACUACAAAACGCCAAAAAUACAGGGAGUAAAAUCAAAACUCUUGACAAAAGGGAAUGGAAUUGGCGAUGGAAACACAAAACAGAGAGUAAAGUCAAAACUCUUGACAAAAGGGACGAUGGAAUUGGCGAUGGAAACAUAAAAUAGAACAGCAACACCUUAAGUCCCCUGCAUCAUUCUCUCAACAUAAACCAAAGGAUUAAGUCUCCAUUAGAAUAAGUUUUAUUUGUUUAUGCUCGUUUAUUUAUUUUGAUAAAUCAACAUAAACAACAACCCAAAUGUUCAUUUACAACCUUAACUUUAAGCAAUUAAACGAUAAGUCGACUUUACAAGUAAACGAUUAGCCCUAGGCAACGAAAGGCCGAACUUCUCGGUCAUGUCGAGUUCAUUAGGCAACAUCCCAUCAGGCAACUCCCAAUCAAAGCAAUGGGCUAAUUGAGCUAAAAUAAUACGCAUGUUGACUAGAGCUAACUGCAUUCCGGGACAUCCUCUACGACCGGUUCCGAACGGAAUAAGUUCGAAAUCAUGCCCUCGAAGGUCUAUCUUCCUAUCCUUGAAUCUUUCUGGAAAGAACUCUUCAGCAUUGCUCGACCAUAUCUUGGGGUUUCGCCCCAUGGACCAAGUGUUUACCAAAAGCCGCGACUUCUUAGGUAUGAAAUACCCAUUAACAGUGACAUCUUCGGUCGACUCGUGCGGGAUUAACAAUGGCGCCACAGGAUGCAACCUAAAACUCUCUUUGAUGACCAUAUCCAAAUAGGCAAGUUUCGGUAGGUCCGACUCUUCUACCAUUCUAUUCCUUCCGACAACACUUUCUAGCUCUUUCUGGAGAGCAACCAUGACUCGAGGAUGCUUUAGAAGUUCUGUAAAUGUCCACUCAAUGGUCGUGGAUGUAGUGUCGAAGGAAGCUGCCACCAUGUCCACCAUUAUAGCCUUGAUGUUUUCUCUACCAAAGAUGUAUGGUUGAUCUUCAUCGUUAGGGUUUAUGGGUGUAUCCAACAUCGAAACCAUCAGUUGAAAGAAACUUCUAUAAGGAUUUUGGUCAUCCAUGUUAAUCCCUUGUUGGUAUUCAUCUAUCAUUUUGUCAAAAAAUUCGUGAAGGCCACUGCUCGCCUUCUUAAGCCUUCUUGUAUAUCCCUG